UACGUAGGGGACCAGCGUUGUCCGGAUUUACUGGGCGUAAAGAGCGCGCAGGCGGUCGUUCAAGUCGAGUGUGAAAGCCCCCGGCUCAACUGGGGAGGGUCACUCGAUACUGAUCGACUCGAAGGCAGGAGAGGGAAGCGGAAUUCCCGGUGUAGUGGUGAAAUGCGUAGAUAUCGGGAGGAACACCAGUGGCGAAGGCGGCUUCCUGGCCUGUUCUUGACGCUGAGGCGCGAAAGCUAGGGGAGCAAACGGG
rnacentral:rRNA from 1 species